AACGAACGCUGGCGGCAUGCUUAACACAUGCAAGUCGAACGGGACCUCCCGGUUUAGUGGCGCACCGGUGCUUACCGCCUGGGAACUUGCCCUUAGGUUAGGUACACUUCCCCGUAGGGGGUCCUAAUACCGGUUAAUCUAAUAGGAGAUAGGAUCUCUCGCUUUUGGAUGGGGCCGCGUUGGAUUCGCCGGUUGGUAGGGUACAAGCCUAUCAAGGCGACGAUGCAUAGCUGGUCGGGGAAGAUGAUCAGGCGCACUGGCCCUGAGACACGGCCCAGACUCGUACGGAGGGCAGCAGUAUAGAAUAUUAUACGAGGGACGAUAGCGUAAUCCAGCAAUGCCGCGGAAGAGAGGAAGGCCGUAGGAUUGUAAAUCUCUUUGACCCGAGACGAUAAUGACAGUACCGGGAGAAUAAGCACCGGCUAACUCCGUG
rnacentral:rRNA from 1 species